UCCAAUGUGGUGUAGUGGUUAACAUUGCUGUCUUUCAUUGGAUUUGACCCCAGUGUCACAGCAGCCCGGGGUUCGAUUCCCCGCAUUGGAA